rnacentral:rRNA from 1 species
CACGGGGGGAGCAAGCGUUGUUCGGAAUUACUGGGCGUAAAGGGCGCGUAGGCGGUUGGAUAAGUCAGCUGUGAAAACCACGAGCUUAACUCGUGGCCUGCAGUUGAGACUGUCUGGCUUGAGUGUGGGAGAGGAGAGUGGAAUUCCUGGUGUAGCGGUGAAAUGCGUAGAUAUCAGGAGGAACACCGGUGGCGAAGGCGGCUCUCUGGACCACAACUGACGCUGGAGGCGCGAAAGCUAGGGGAGCAAACAGG